rnacentral:rRNA from 1 species
CCUAGGGGCGGCUGCAGUGGGGAAUAUUGGACAAUGGGCGAAAGCCUGAUCCAGCCAUGCCGCGUGUGUGAAGAAGGCCUUCGGGUUGUAAAGCACUUUCAGUGGGGAAGAAAGCCUUGGGGCUAAUACCCUCGAGGAAGGACAUCACCCACAGAAGAAGCACCGGCUAACUCCGUGCCAGCAGCCGCGGUAAUACGGAGGGUGCGAGCGUUAAUCGGAAUUACUGGGCGUAAAGCGCGCGUAGGCGGUCUGAUAAGCCGGUUGUGAAAGCCCCGGGCUCAACCUGGGAACGGCAUCCGGAACUGUCAGGCUAGAGUGCAGGAGAGGAAGGUAGAAUUCCCGGUGUAGCGGUGAAAUGCGUAGAGAUCGGGAGGAAUACCAGUGGCGAAGGCGGCCUUCUGGACUGACACUGACGCUGAGGUGCGAAAGCGUGGGUAGCAAACAGGAUUAGAUACCCCAGUAGUC